rnacentral:rRNA from 1 species
UACGUAGGGGGCUAGCGUUGUCCGGAUUUAUUGGGCGUAAAGAGCGUGUAGGCGGCCAGGUAGGUCUGCUGUGAAAACUCGAGGCUCAACCUCGAGAUGUCGGCGGAAACCAUCUGGCUAGAGUCCGGAAGAGGAGAGUGGAAUUCCUGGUGUAGCGGUGAAAUGCGUAGAUAUCGAGAGGAACACCUGCGGCGAAGGCGGGUUGCUGGGCUGACACUGACGCUGAUGCGCGAAAGCCAGGGGAGCGAACGGG